rnacentral:rRNA from 1 species
GAACGCUGUUCAAGUGCUUGACACAUGCUAAUCGUACGAUUAAUUUAAUGAAUAAUUUUAUUAAU